UGGGGAAUAUUGGACAAUGGGGGCAACCCUGAUCCAGCGAUGCCGCGUGAGUGAAGAAGGCCUUCGGGUCGUAAAGCUCUUUAGGUUGGGAAGAAGUGUAUGGAUUGAUAAUGUUCAUAUGUUGACUGUACCGACAGAAUAAGCACCGGCAAACUCUGUGCCAGCAGCCGCGGUAAUACAGAGGGUGCGAGCGUUAAUCGGAGUUACUGGGCGUAAAGGGCGCGUAGGCGGUUAUAUGUGUGUGAUGUGAAAGCCCCGGGCUUAACCUGGGAAGUGCAUCGCAAACUAUAUGACUGGAGUAUAUGAGAGGGUGGCGGAAUUUCCGGUGUAGCGGUGAAAUGCGUAGAGAUCGGAAGGAACGUCAAUGGCGAAGGCAGCCACCUGGCAUAAUACUGACGCUGAGGCGCGAAAGCGUGGGGAGCGAACAGG
rnacentral:rRNA from 1 species